rnacentral:rRNA from 1 species
UGAACUUAAGCAUAUCAAUAAGCGGAGGAAAAGAAACCAACAGGGAUUGCCCUAGUAACGGCGAGUGAAGCGGCAAUAGCUCAAAUUUGAAAGCUGGCCUUCUGGUCCGCAUUGUAAUUUGUAGAGGAUGCUUUUAGGCAGCCGCCGGUCUAAGUUCCUUGGAACAGGACGUCAUAGAGGGUGAGAAUCCCGUAUGUGACCGGCUCUGGCACCUUAUGUAAAGCUCCUUCGACGAGUCGAGUUGUUUGGGAAUGCAGCUCUAAAUGGGAGGUAAAUUUCUUCUAAAGCUAAAUACUGGCGAGAGACCGAUAGCGCACAAGUAGAGUGAUCGAAAGAUGAAAAGCACUUUGGAAAGAGAGUUAAAAAGCACGUGAAAUUGUUGAAAGGGAAGCGCUUGCAAUCAGACUUGGACUUGGCUGUUCAACCGGUCUUCUGACCGGCCUACUCAGUCUUGUCCAGGCCAGCAUCAGUUUCGGCGGCCGGAUAAAGGCCCUGGGAAUGUAGCUGUCCUUCACGGGACAGUGUUAUAGCCCAGGGUGUAAUACGGCCAGCCGGGACUGAGGUCCGCGCUUCGGCUAGGAUGCUGGCGUAAUGGUUGUAAGCGGCCCGUCUUGAAACACGGACCAAGGAGUCUAACAUCUAUGCGAGUGUUAGGGUGUCAAACCCUUACGCGUAAUGAAAGUGAACGGAGGUGGGAACCCGCAAGGGUGCACCAUCGACCGAUCCUGAUGUCUUCGGAUGGAUUUGAGUAAGAGCAUAGCUGUUGGGACCCGAAAGAUGGUGAACUAUGCCUGAAUAGGGUGAAGCCAGAGGAAACUCUGGUGGAGGCUCGCAGCGGUUCUGACGUGCAAAUCGAUCGUCAAAUUUGGGUAUAGGGGCGAAAGACUAAUCGAACCAUCUAGUAGCUGGUUCCUGC